rnacentral:rRNA from 1 species
UACGUAGGGGGCAAGCGUUGUCCGGAUUUAUUGGGCGUAAAGAGCGUGUAGGCGGCUAGAUAGGUCCGUUGUGAAAACUCGAGGCUCAACCUCGAGACGUCGAUGGAAACCAUCUGGCUAGAGUCCGGAAGAGGAGAGUGGAAUUCCUGGUGUAGCGGUGAAAUGCGCAGAUAUCAGGAGGAACACCUAUUGCGAAGGCAGCUCGCUGGGACGUAACUGACGCUGAGACGCGAAAGCGUGGGAGCAAACAGG